rnacentral:rRNA from 1 species
UACAGAGGGGGCAAGCGUUGUUCGGAAUUACUGGGCGUAAAGCGCGUGUAGGCGGCUUUGCAAGUCGGAUGUGAAAGCCCACGGCUCAACCGUGGAAGUGCAUCCGAAACUGCAUGGCUCGAGUCUCGGAGAGGAAGGUGGAAUGCUUGGUGUAGAGGUGAAAUUCGUAGAUAUCAAGCAGAACACCUGCGGCGAAGGCGGCCUUCUGGACGAUGACUGACGCUGAGACGCGAAAGCGUGGGGAGCAAACAGG